CUAAGGCUCCAGAGGAGGCCACGGCUAACUCUGUGCCAGCAGCCGCGGUAAUACAGAGGCGGCAAGCGUUGUUCGGAAUUAUUGGGCGUAAAGAGCACGUAGGCGGCCUUGCAAGUCAGUUGUGAAAGCCUUCCGCUUAACGGAAGAAUGCCAGCUGAUACUACAGGGCUUGAGUACGGGAGGGGAGAGUGGAACCUCUGGCGGAGCGGUGAAAUGCGUAGAUAUCAGAAGGAACGCCGGCGGCGAAAGCGACUCUCUGGCCCGAAACUGACGCUGAGUGUGCGAAAGCUAGGGGAGCAAACGGGAUUAGAUACCCCGGUAGUCCUAGCCGUAAA
rnacentral:rRNA from 1 species